GCGUUAUCACGAAUUCAACAUAUACUAGCAGAAGAAAAGGUAAGAAUCUCUCCCUUUCUAUUUGUACUCUGGAACCAAAGCAGCGAACCCUAGCUCCUGUCCUGUCCUGUCCUGUCCUGUCCUCUCCUCUUCCUCCUCACCGGCGCCGCACAAAUGUCCGACCGCCGUCGCGACCGGGAGGAGCCUCGCGAGGGCGAUCGCGACCGGGACAGGGACAGGGAUAGGGACCGGGGCCGAGACGGAGAGCGCGACCGUGAGAGGGCUCGGGAGCUCGACCGCCCCCGCGACCGUGGCCGCGAGCGGGAGAAGCAGAGGGAUCGAGACCGUGAGCGCGACCGCGACCGGGACCGGGACCGGGACCGCCGCCGGGACCGUGAACGCAAGCGCUCGCGCUCUCCUUCAGCCGACCGCUCCCACCGCCGUCAAUCCCACUCCCACUCUCACCGCGGCCUCUCACCUCAAUCCCCGGACGCUGGCCGCCACAAGCGCCGCCGCGACGGGUCCCCUGCCACGGACCAAAAGGACAACAAGAAGCCAGAAGCACCCGUGGUGACUGAGAGCAUCGAGGAAGGGGCCGUGGCGGGCGACGGGGCAGUGGACAUGGAGGAACUUGAGAUGAUGAGGAUGAUGGGGAUCCCCGCUGGGUUCGACUCCACCAAGGGGAAGCACGUUCCGGACGCCGACAUCAGCGGGGUACGCGUCGUCACCAAGCGGCAGCCACGGCAGUACAUGAACCGUCGUGGUGGGUUCAAUCGGCCCCUGCCACCAGAGCGCAACCGCUGAGGAAAGAAAAUGGAUGAUGGAGAUAUUCUUAUUUUGUGUUGCAGUGGACUGCUGGGCCAUGUUGCUGUCUUGCUGGGCAUAGUAGGAAAUUAACUGCUACUGAGCAUGAAAAAGGAAUUUGGUGGCACAUUUUGAACUAUGGCUUUACAAAUUUUCAUGCUGUUUCUUUCUGCGUAUAAUUUGUAUUUUUUCAGGUAAGGGGCCACAUGGAUUACAAAUUGAAACAGCAUUUACUUUUAGUUGUAUAUUAUGAAAUGAAUUUGUUGGUGGUUGCAAAUUUGGCUGCAGCAUAAUUCUGAACGCCCCGCUGAGAACUACCCUGAAUUCAGAAUUAUAACUCUGAACAUGUUUUAACUUAAUUUAGAUGUAGCUUGGGUAACUAUGGAGUCUUUACCCGCAACUGGUCUGGUUUGGUAGUUUGAUCACCCCAGGAACUUUACUAUCGUUGUAUAUUGGCCGUUGGCAAGGUAAUUCAUUAUAACCAUGUGUAACCUGAUGCUGGCGUUUUUUUUUUUUUUGAACAAGUGAUGCUGGCGUUUAAAUUUCAAUGCUUUUCAGCACACGCCUAAGCCUCGUUGUCUAGGAUUGAAGCCCACUUGUUCAGAACUUUAGAGAUUUUCUUC